GACGAACGCUGGCGGCGUGCUUAACACAUGCAAGUCGAACGGGAUUUAGUAAACGGAAGCCUCGGUGGAAGAUUACUAAUGAGAGUGGCGAACGGGUGAGUAACGCGUGAGCAGCCUGCCUAUGACAGUGGGAUAGCCUCGGGAAACCGGGAUUAAUACCGCAUAAAAUCGUAGAAACACAUGUUUCAACGGUCAAAGAUUUAUCGGUCAUAGAUGGGCUCGCGUCUGAUUAGCUAGUUGGUGAGAUAACAGCCCACCAAGGCGACGAUCAGUAGCCGGUCUGAGAGGAUGAACGGCCACAUUGGAACUGAGACACGGUCCAAACUCCUAAGGGAGGCAGCAGUGGGGAAUAUUGCACAAUGGGGGAAACCCUGAUGCAGCGACGCCGCGUGAACGAAGAAGGUAUUCGUAUCGUAAAGUUCUGUCCUAUGGGAAGAUAAUGACAGUACCAUAGAAGAAAGCGCCGGCUAAAUACGUG
rnacentral:rRNA from 1 species